CAUUUAGUGAUGUUCAUUGACUUGGAUUGUCGCUUUGACAUUUUAUGCCUUUCACAGUCAUUAAAGCAUAGGCUCAUGGAAACUAGUGGAUCUACAGUAGCGGAUGAGGCAUAAUACAGGAGAACCUUUGUUUCUUGAAUGUUGGUGUUGUUGGCUAGUUGUGGGUCAGCCUGAGAAGGUAAAUGCUGAUAGCCUUGCUGCUUACCUGCUCAUUUAUGGUGACAAAUGUUUUGGAGCUGUUACGGAGUUCUUGUUGGAUUUAUGCCUGUUGAUGUAGUUGCCACAUCUAAGAGCUAUGGAAAAUACAAGUGAUGUCUCUAUGGGUUUGGAUUUGAUUGGUUUAGAGUCCUUAUUUGGUGGAGUUAGUGCCAAUGGUGGUGUUUGAGGCUGGUUUAAUGGGUAAGAUUGGUAAACAAAGAGAAACUAGGGUUUGGGGCUUAGGUUCAAUGGUAGAGACGCUUGGAGUGCCACACAUGGCCUUUAACAGCGAAAAGAUGUAUUGGAAGAAAUAAUACUGUAAAGUAACAUGUAUAGAUAAAUAAAGAAAAAAUUCUGGAUUCAAGGCUCUAACAAAAUGACGGUUUCUUUAAGAUAAAUUUGCCACCCUUCCAGUAACUUUAUGAGUGCAAAUAGGACAAUUGGAAAAAAAGGGUAUACGAGAAGGCAUUUUUUUCUAAAGUUUUCUGGUUUAUAGGAUUUGCAUUGCUUGUAAAUAGCCUCAACUUCAAAUAAAUAAAACUAAAAUGCCAGGGAUAUGAGAAGAAGGCAUUUUUCUUUUCUAUUUUUUGUAUAAUAUAAGACAUAUUUUGAAAUAUUCUAACAAGGUGAUGGUUCCUUGAGGGAGUCUUUCUUAAGUGUUAAGAGGACACCCAGUAAGGGGACUAGAUGAGCGUAGGAGAAAGAAGUGCUACUUGAAUCAGUGGGCUUAUUGAUUGAGCACUUCAAAAUCUUAUAAACUGUUACUUUUGUAAUCAGGUAGACCAGUGGGAGGACCAGAUUCUAGGGCUAGGUGGUUUUUCUGAGAUCCCUUGUCCUCCAUGUGGGGAGGGGAUUAGUCUGGUUCCUUGUGGCCAACUGGACGUAUCACUUCAGUAUAUUUGUUGAGUGUUUAUCUGUUUAGGCAUCAGAUUCUUUUGGUGCCUAGAUCUUAGGACAUGGGAACACCACUAAAUAAUCAUUUUUUUUCCUCAUUCUAUAACCUGGGCCAAAUUGAAGUAUAUCUCUAAUUUGAAAAGUUUGAUGUGGGUAUUUGACUUGUAUUCAUGCAACAAACAAACGGAUAACAGGUGUCUAAGGUAACUGAAGGAACUUUGUUUCUUCUUCUUCCUUUUUUUGAUCUGUUGGGUAAAUGGUCUGACCAAUAGGCAUGUUAGGCACACAUUCUUAGUCCUCACCCAAACCCUUUUCAUAUCAUGUCUAACAUGGGGUACAUUCACACACUAUGGAGUUUGCACGUGACAUUUGCAAAUUGCAAUCAAUAUUGCAUCAAGGAUUUUCUUGUUUUUGGCCAAGAUAUUUUAUGCUUCACACAAUAACUUAUUGAUCACCUCUUUUCAAUCUCUGGGCUAGGACAUAAUAGUUUAUAAAUUCCAUCCACAAAGCCUAUCUGUAUAAAGUCCUUAAGAUUCUCAAUUCCCCCUCUCCUUGGAACAAGAGUAAUGAAAGUUGCAUUCAAGCUUUUCUUGGACUCUCUGAUAUCAUGAAAUGAGUUUUGCUCUCUCAGUACCUGCUUUUAACCACAUUCAAUUAUGUUGCUAGAUUGCCAUUUUGAACUGGUCUAGGCUUGGAGCCUUAUCUUCAUUUUCCUUUUGGAGCCUUCAUAGCCUCCUCCCCAAAUUCUUCUUCAAGCCACCAUUCUCAAUCAAGCUAGUAGACUGGAAUUCCAUACUGUCCAACCUAUUUUCCAAUGGUAUUUGAAAAAGGUUGAUGAAGUAGUGAACUAAUCUAUUUCACAUAUCUUCCCUCAUGUUCAUUCUCAUUGUCCUCAAUCUCCUAGUAAGGUUGUCUAUAAUGAGCAUUCCACACUUGCUAAAGAACUUUGUAUUUAGAACCCCCAUCCUUUCAAAAUUCAUCCCUGGUAUCUGAUGCCAAAACCUUCAUUUUGGCCAAUCCAAAGACUUCCUUCACAUGACACCUCCACUUUUGACAAACCCCUUUCUUUUUCCUUGUCCUGUUCCUUUAUCUUUUCCAUGUUGCAUUUUUUUCCCAUCUUUUCUAGUUGGAAUAACUCUUGCUUUUUUUUUUUUUUUUUUUUUUUUUGCUGCUAUACCCUGAGUCACUUUCAUCGUUCUUUUUAAGGCCUUCCUUGAGUGGUUGUCUUCUUAACCAUAAUUAAACUAUCAAUUCUUUAUCACUUGAUAACCCCUUUUCUUUUAACCUUAUGACUUCAACUCUGAACAUACAUUUUCCCCUCCAUAAAUCACCACUAUCAAACAAAAUCAGGGUGUGGCACAUGUGGAGAAACACGUUUCUUAAGGAAUUUUGACUUUGUAUUUUAUGUAAAUAGGUUUAAAUUUGGUAGAUAAUGUAAUCUUUGAUUUUUUGGGAUUUAAUCCCUGAUUUUUUGGGAUUUAAUCCCUGAUUUAUAGGGAUUUAGUUUACUGAUUUAUGGGGAUUUGGUUUAGGGUAGUUUUAGUUUUCUAUAAUACUCCUAUGGCUUGUCCUUUUUGAUAUAACCAGAUGAGUAUUCUAUUUAGAAUGUAUGAGAUUUUCUUCUCAAUUUUUCCACAUGGUAUCAGAGCCUUAGGCUCUCAGAAUUCACAUUCUUUUGUCCUUUGUCAACCUGGUUUUCUUCUUAAGACCUAGUAUUCUUCUAUAGUCAAGUUCUGGUUCUCUGCCCCUUAUUCAAUCAGAGUUUCUAGUUCUUUGCUCUUUCUUCAAUUUAGAAGAAAAAGAAAACAUCCACCAUGUCUAAGACAUCCGAAGCCACCAACAUUUUUUUUUUGAUCAGAAACAAACAUAUGUAUUAAUUGAGAAUAAAAAGAACAUGAGAAGGAUGAGAAAUCCUCCUCAAGAAAUACAAACCUGAUAAAAGAACUGAGAAAACCUCCACUUUACAAUGGGGCUAUACAAAAAGUACAAAAAACCUAUACAAGUGUAACAGCUCCUGACCCUGUAGACCCAGCCCUAAGGUGUACAAAUCGAAAGCCAACUAAGUUGAAUUACACUCAAAGGGUAGGGUUUAAAAACGUUUGUACAAUAAACCCAAAAGAAACAAGGAAAUCAAGCAAAUUCCACAUCAUGUCUUCCAAGUAUCCUAAAAAGUCCUAGUUUUCCUCUCUCUUCACACAAUCCAUAACAAAGAAAGACAUGUGAUCCUCCGAAGCCACCAAUGUUCCUGCAGUACAACCAACUGAAGGGCUGCCAAGUCAGUUCAAUGGGGAGCUUCAAAACAUUCACGCCACAUACCGGUUGAAUGGGAAGAAUUAUUUGUAGGUCACAAGUUGUGAAGACAUUCUUGAAGGGGAAAGGAAAGUCACUUGUUGUGUAUGGGACCAGAGCAAAGUGAUCCCAAAUUCCAGAUUUGGGAUGAGGAAGAUUCCAUGAUUAUGUCAUGGCUUUGGAAUUCAAUACUACCUGAGAUUAGUAGCACUUUCAUGUUUUUGUCCACAGCUAAAGAAAUUUGGGAGGCAGUGAGACAGACUUACUGAAAGUUACGGGGUGCAGCACAAAUAUUUGAGAUAAAGAUGAAGAUUUCAGCCACCAAAGAAGGUGAGCGUUUGGUGAUUGAAUAUGCCAAUCUCCUGAAAUAUUUGUGUCAAGAGAUGAAUUAUUAUCAAUUCAUUCAAAUGAAGGAUAGUCAGGAUGCUGCCAUAUUGAAAAGAUUUGUUGAGAAAGAAAGAAUUUUCGAAUUCCUUGUUGGUCUAAAUCUAGAGUUUGAUCAAGUCUGAGUUCAGGUCUUAGGAAAAGAGGACCUACCAUCUAUAAAUGAAACUAUUUCCAUAAUUCGAGCAGAGAAAGGAAGAAGAGGUGUAAUGAUGAAUGAAACACCUACGGUAAAAGCUCAGCUGUGCUGUCAAACGCUGGAAAUAUGAAGAAUGUUGUAGAAAAUCAGUCCAAUGUUGCAAACAAACAACCAGAUUCGUCCAGGUGGUGUAAUAACUGCAAGAAACCUGGGCACACUAAGAGUGCGUUUGGUAGUGGUUCUAAAAAACGUUUCUAACAUUUUAAAUACUUAAAUAAUGAAAAUUUUCAAGUAUUAAAAAUGUUAGAAACACUUUCUAAAAUCAUUACCAAACGGGCUCUAAGGAUAUGUGCUGGAAGUUGCACGAAAGGCCACCAAACUUCAACAACAAUAAUAGGGGAUGGAGACCUAAUGGUGAACAACAACAAAAAGUUCAAGGGCAGACAAAUCUCACCAACAUCAAUCUGCUAAAUGAUGAGAAUGAGACCCAAACACAUGGAGAGUUCAAGGAGGAUAUUGAGAGGCUGAAAAGAUUGUUAAGAUCAUUUGAAAAACCCUUUGGUGCUUGCUCCUUAUCACUUUCAGGAUCUGGCAAUAAAGUAAAUUGGGAACAAAAUGAUGAUCCUUGGGGCUCUGGUACAGAGGAGCCAAAUAUUGGUUAUGAUGAGGAACUAUUUGCAGCAUGCAUGAGACGGUUCUUGUACAUCCGUUGUUAUGAUAGUUUUGAAUUUCUUGCCACUCUCAAGACAUUACGCUAUCGACUUCAAAGAGCAAGAGAAACACAUGGUGUUACUGCUCAUUUCCUUAUGAUUGACAGCAUUGGAGCAUUUUAUUGGGUAGAUCGUGCCUCAACAUCUCUGCAUCUAGAGAGUAAUAGCAGGAAAAGACUCUCCCUUCAAAGUAUAUCAGAAACUGUAGUUGAGGAGAUCAGAAAGCUGCUUCUUGUGCAUCCCAUGCUUGUACUUGCUACAAAAGCUACCAUUUUAGGGGACACAUACUCAACAAAUGAAGUCAAGAGGACUUCCAUGAAAUUGUCUUCAAAUGAUCCCUCAAAUUUAAGAACUGUAACAGGUGGUCCUCAGAAACUUUCAUAUCGUGAAUUUAUGCCUUUGGUCUGGCAGUCUUUUGUUACUCACAGGAUACUUGUACGAGCAGCAGAUGAUGAUCCUGCUAAUAGCAAAUAUCAAAGUCGGUCAAUCUUUUUGUCAGAAUGGUUGAUGCCAUCAUUAAAUUUUUCGGACAAAUUUAUAGUGAGAGAUGCUGGUGUCUUCGUUGUUUCGUGAAGUGCAUUUGUGGAGACAUGAAAUAAGAUUUUACUUCUUGUACCCAGCCAUCUCAUAUGAUAUCAGGAUUUGUGCAAAUAGAUGUUGAUGACUAGUUCGGUGAGGUUCAAGGUUCAUAUAGGAACGGACUCCAAAAGGGUGUUAGAAGGGGGUGUUAGUUAGAAUUGGGGGUAUGCGAGAUAUUAGGGUGUGGCUCUGAGGGUGAGCUUCCCAGACUAGCACCAUUGGAGAGAAUGAAGCAAUGUUAUUAAAACAUAUAAGCUGGUCAUGGAGUUGGGAGUCUGAGCUGGUGGAUACUUUGAUAUGAUUAUUUAUAUAGAAAUAGAGAUAAACAUGGAAGCAGCAGAUGAUAUGGAGUGAAAAUUAGAAGUUGGGAUAUGUUCUAAAUGAGGUCUACGGUUGUAGGAGCAGAGAGGAGGCUAAGUUCCCAUGUAACAAAAAGGCAGGAGAGAGGAUGGGAUGGCAGUUCCAAUUAUCUAAUGGAAAGUGCAGAUCACUGUAGUUUCCAAUUAUCAAAUUAUAAUCAUAUAGAUUUGACACCCAAUUCAUUCCCUUAUCUCAAUCCUAUGUUGUUGUCCUAAGUUCAAUGAUAUUUUUUGUCUUUAUGCAAAAAGGUAAAUGCGAAAAGAUUUUUCUAUCA